rnacentral:rRNA from 1 species
GGCUGAUACCGCCCAAGAGUUCAUAUCGACGGCGGUGUUUGGCACCUCGAUGUCGGCUCAUCACAUCCUGGGGCUGAAGUCGGUCCCAAGGGUAUGGCUGUUCGCCAUUUAAAGAGGUACGUGAGCUGGGUUUAGAACGUCGUGAGACAGUUCGGUCCCUAUCUGCCGUGGGUGUACGAGACUUGAGAGGCGCUGUCCCUAGUACGAGAGGACCGGGAUGGACGCACCUCUGGUGGACCGGUUGUCGCGCCAGCGGCACAGCCGGGUAGCUAUGUGCGGACGGGAUAACCGCUGAAGGC